rnacentral:snRNA from 1 species
AAGCUUUGAUGGUGAAGUCAAAGA